GUACUUGUGGUUGAAUGCAACGUUGGUUUUUCAUACCAAAGGUUUUGGUUAGAAUCCGGACAAGUACU
rnacentral:tRNA from 1 species